AGUGAACGCUGGCGGUAGGCCUAACACAUGCAAGUCGAACGGCAGCACAGUAAGAGCUUGCUCUUACGGGUGGCGAGUGGCGGACGGGUGAGGAAUACAUCGGAAUCUACUUUUUCGUGGGGGAUAACGUAGGGAAACUUACGCUAAUACCGCAUAUGAUCUACGGGUGAAAGCAGUGGAUCUUCGGACCUUGCGCGAUUGAAUGAGCCGAUGUCGGAUUAGCUAGUUGGCGGGGUAAAGGCCCACCAAGGCGACGAUCCGUAGCUGGUCUGAGAGGAUGAUCAGCCACACUGGAACUGAGACACGGUCCAGACUCCUACGGGAGGCAGCAGUGGGGAAUAUUGGACAAUGGGCGCAAGCCUGAUCCAGCCAUACCGCGUGGGUGAAGAAGGCCUUCGGGUUGUAAAGCCCUUUUGUUGGGAAAGAAAAGCAGCAGGUUAAUACCCCGCUGUUCUGACGGUACCCAAAGAAUAAGCACCGGCUAACUUCGUG
rnacentral:rRNA from 1 species